ACAAUGCUGAUGUUUUUGAGUAC
rnacentral:miRNA from 1 species